rnacentral:rRNA from 1 species
GUUUUUUGGUCAAGCUACUAAGGGCAGACGGAGGAUGCCUGGGUACCGGGAGGCGAAGAAGGACGCGGUAAGCUGCGAUAAGCUUCGGGGAGCUGCUAACAGGCUUUGAACCGGAGAUUUCCGAAUGGGGAAACCCGGCCAGGGUUAUACCUGGUCAUCGUGCACUGAAUACAUAGGUGUAACGAGGCGAACGCAGGGAAUUGAAACAUCUAAGUACCUGCAGGAGUAGAAAUCAAUUUAGAGAUUCCGUCAGUAGCGGCGAGCGAACGCGGAACAGCCCAAACCGAGUCAUUUAUGGCUCGGGGUUGUGGGGCCCCGAUAUGGGAUUGCGAAUGGAUAGCAGAAGGGCAUGGAAAGGCCCACCACAGACGGUGAUAGUCCGGUAUGCGAAAUCUUGAAGCACCCUAGGGUGUCCCCGAGUACCACGAGGCACGUGAAACCUAGUGGGAAUCUGGGAGGACCAUCUUCCAAGGCUAAAUACUACCCGGUGACCGAUAGUGAACUAGUACCGUGAGGGAAAGGUGAAAAGAACGGGGGGACCCGAGUGAAAUAGAACCUGAAACCGUCUGUCUACAAGCAGUGGAAGCACGAUGUCGCAAGACCGUGUAACCGCGUGCCUUUUGCAUAAUGAGUCAGCGACUUAUCCUAUGCAGCGAGGUUAAGCCGAAAGGUGUAGCCGUAGCGAAAGCGAGUCUUAAUAGGGCGACAAGUUGCAUGGGGUAGACCCGAAGCCGGGUGAUCUAUCCAUGACCAGGGUGAAGCGAAGGUAAUACUUCGUGGAGGCCCGAACCGAUAUAGGUUGAAAACUGUUCGGAUGAGUUGUGGCUAGGAGUGAAAGGCUAAUCAAACUCGGUGAUAGCUGGUUUUCCUCGAAAUAUAUUUAGGUAUAGCCUCGCAUGAUGACUGACGGAGGUAGAGCACUGACAAGACUAGGGGUCCCCACAGGAUUACCAACUCUUAUCAAACUCCGAAUGCCGUCAAGUUCAAGUGCGGGAGUCAGACUGCGGGAGAUAAGUUCCGUGGUCAAAAGGGAAAGAGCCCAGACCAUCAGCUAAGGUCCCUAAAUGCAUGCUAAGUGGUAAAGGAUGUGGAACUGUUUAGACAAUCAGGAGGUUGGCUUAGAAGCAGCAAUCCUUUAAAGAAAGCGUAAUAGCUCACUGAUCGAAUGGGUCUGCGCCGAAAAUUUAACGGGGCUUAAGCAUGCUACCGAAGCUAUGGAUAACGCGCAAGCGUUAUGGUAGAGGAACAUUGUAGUAACCUGAGAAGGUACACCGUAAGGAGUGCUGGAGGACCUACAAGAGCUUAUGCUGACACGAGUAGCGAAAAUGCGGGUGAGAAACCCGCACGCCGAAAACCUAAGGUUUCCUGAGUAAAGUUAAUCUGCUCAGGGUUAGUCGGUCCCUAAGGCGAGGCCGAGAGGCGUAGUCGAUGGAAAACGGGUUAAUAUUCCCGUACCAUUUUAUCAGCGUUUGAGCGAAGGGGGGACGCAGAAGGGUAGGUCAUCCGGGCGUUGGUUGUCCCGGUUUAAAUGUGUAGGCGGGGGACCCAGGCAAAUCCAGGUCCCUGUAUAACGCUGAGGCAUGAUGACGAUGCGGCUUGCCGCAAUAAAGUGAUUGAUCCCAUGCUGCCAGGAAAAGCCUCGUAGUGAGUUGAUAAAGUGACCGUACCGUAAACCGACACAGGUAGGUAGGGAGAGUAUCCUAAGGCGCUUGAGAGAACUCUGGUUAAGGAACUCGGCAAAAUAACACCGUAACUUCGGGAGAAGGUGUGCCCUCGUAGCGUGAAGUGACUUGCUCAUGGAGCGUAAGGGGGUUGCAGUGAAAUGGGGGGAGCGACUGUUUACUAAAAACACAGGACUCUGCGAAGUCGAAAGACGCAGUAUAGGGUCUGACGCCUGCCCGGUGCCGGAAGGUUAAGGGGACUUGUUAGCGCAAGCGAAGCAACGAACUGAAGCCCCGGUAAACGGCGGCCGUAACUAUAACGGUCCUAAGGUAGCGAAAUUCCUUGUCGGGUAAGUUCCGACCUGCACGAAUGGCGUAACGAUUUCCCCACUGUCUCAACCAGGGACUCAGCGAAACUGUAUUACCGGUGAAGAUGCCGGUUACCCGCAUCAAGACAGAAAGACCCCGUGCACCUUUACUAUAGCUUGGCAUUGGAGUUUGGAAUAAUUUGUGUAGGAUAGGUGGGAGACUGUGAAGCAGGGACGCUAGUUCUUGCGGAGUCAACCUUGAAAUACCACCCUGAUUAUCUUAGAAUACUAACCUAGACCCGUAAUCCGGGUCAGGGACAUUGUCUGGUGGGUAGUUUGACUGGGGCGGUCGCCUCCUAAAAAGUAACGGAGGCGCGCGAAGGUUCCCUCAGGU